rnacentral:lncRNA from 1 species
ACUUCAAAGGAAUGAGUGGGAUCCAAUCAUCGAAUGGGCUGAGAAAAGAUCCAGAAGUGGGGCAACAUUGAGUGGGCCCAUGACUAUGAGCUGCAGGAGCUGCGGGCCCGCACCGCCGCCGGCACCCUCUUCAUCCAUCUCUGCUCCGAGAGCACCACAGUCAAGCACAAGCUCCUGAAGGAGUGAGGCCUGGGCAGAGCACACUCAGCAGGAUAGAGGCAGUGCAGCCACAGCUCCCCCGGCCUUCAGGGCUCCCCAGCCUGUGGGGCUGGCUUCCUUGGCUUUUGGGGACUCGGCCUCAGCGUCACCCUGAGAUUCCCCCCGAGACACAGUGCGCUAGUACGGCUGUCCGGAGGUCAGCCUGAUUUCAACCCAGGUGCCCCUGGCCUGGCCAGCAGUGAAUGUAGGAGAUGAAUUGUGCAAGUGACUUUCUCUCGACUCUGAUUUUAUUAAAUAUUUCUCCACCCUGGA